rnacentral:rRNA from 1 species
AGAGUUUGAUCCUGGCUCAGGACGAACGCUGGCGGCGUGCUUAACACAUGCAAGUCGAGCGAGAAAGCUACCUUCGGGUAGCAAGUAAAGCGGCGGACGGGUGAGUAACGCGUGAAUAAUCUGUCCUUAAGUUUAGGAUAACCUGAUGAAAGUCGGGCUAAUCCUGAAUGAUCUAUAGGAGCGGCGACGCUUUUAUAGCAAAGGUGGUUUACCAUCGUUUAGGGAGGAGUUCGCGUCGGAUUAGCUAGCUGGUAAGGUAGUGGCUUACCAGGGCGACGAUCCGUAGCUGGUCUGAGAGGACGAUCAGCCACACUGGGACUGAGACACGGCCCAGACUCCUACGGGAGGCAGCAGUGGGGAAUCUUUCGCAAUGGACGCAAGUCUGACGAAGCAACGCCGCGUGAGUGAGGAAGGCCCUUUGGGUUGUAAAGCUCUGUUGCCGGGGAAGAAAGUUAGUGUAAGGAAAUGUGCAUUAAUUGACGGUACCCGGUGAGGAAGCACUGGCUAACUACGUGCCAGCAGCCGCGGUAAUACGUAGAGUGCAAGCGUUGUCCGGAAUCAUUGGGCGUAAAGGGUACGCAGGCGGAUAUACAAGUCAAAUGUGAAAGGUGUAGGCUUAACCUACAGACUGCGUUUGAAACUGUAUAUCUUGAGAGCAGCAGAGGAAGGCGGAAUUCCUGGUGUAGUGGUGAAAUACGUAGAUAUCAGGAAGAACACCAGUGGCGAAGGCGGUCUUCUGGGCUGCAUCUGACGCUCAUGUACGAAAGCUGGGGUAGCGAACGGGNAUUANAUACCCCGGUAGUCCCAGCUGUAAACGAUGGACACUAG